rnacentral:lncRNA from 1 species
UAAGUAAAAGUAAAUUGAUUAUGUGUAAAGAUUCUACAAAUAGCUUUAUCUAUACAAGUCAUAGACAAAGCCAAUUAACUCAUAGAGUGCGAAUGCGAUAAUUAUGACUACACAUGCUAUAGACUAUAACUACCUGUGGGUACAUUAUUUGACAUCAUUCCCAAGAUCUUUAGCUAAUAGCAAAAUUAAAUUUGAUAAAAAUAUCUUUUUCUCUUCGGGUGAAGUGCUCGAUUUUGAGAUCAUGCUCCAUACAGGAUCUUGAGUCUCUAAUAAUCUCUUUCAAGAGCUGAGCAUUGUUUGUGUAUUGACAUUCAAAGAUUCUAUUACAUCUCUCCUUCC